rnacentral:rRNA from 1 species
AGUGAACGCUGGCGGUAGGCCUAACACAUGCAAGUCGAACGGCAGCACAGUAAGAGCUUGCUCUUACGGGUGGCGAGUGGCGGACGGGUGAGGAAUACAUCGGAAUCUACUUUUUCGUGGGGGAUAACGUAGGGAAACUUACGCUAAUACCGCAUACGACCUACGGGUGAAAGCAGGGGAUCUUCGGACCUUGCGCGAUUGAAUGAGCCGAUGUCGGAUUAGCUAGUUGGCGGGGUAAAGGCCCACCAAGGCGACGAUCCGUAGCUGGUCUGAGAGGAUGAUCAGCCACACUGGAACUGAGACACGGUCCAGACCCCUACGGGAGGCAGCAGUGGGGAAUAUUGGACAAAGGGCGCAAGCCUGAUCCAGCCAUACCGCGUGGGUGAAGAAGGCCUUCGGGUUGUAAAGCCCUUUUGUUGGGAAAGAAAAGCAGCAGGUUAAUACCCCGCUGUUCUGACGGUACCCAAAGAAUAAGCACCGGCUAACUUCGUG